UCCCCACAUCCUCACAGGCCCAAGGUCACAGCCUGGUUGUCCAGUGACAGUGCAGAAUGCCUCAGAGGUUCCUCUAUUGCCUUCUCCAUCCUCGGUCAAGACAAAUAAUAUGAUCAUAUGAGUCUGAGUGCAUCCCUGUAAUAACCUAACGUCAUGUCUUCCUUCUUCCAGCCACUGUGUCUGAGUCUGAGUGUCCUGGUCGCAGAGAGCCCAGCUGAGAGGUCAGGCGUCGAGCGAGUAGGUGCCAUGGUGUGAGAUACCGUCAUGUCUGCCUGGUGAAGUGAGGGAGGGAGACGGGAGAGGAGAUGGAAUGGAAAAUGGCCCUGGCUGUUUGCACCAUGUGGAGAGGACACCUAGCCACUCUCCAUAUCCUCAGGGCUACUGGGGUCAAGACAUUAAAGCUAGGGGUGAGAUAGCUGUCCCUCUCUGACUGGAGUUCUUUGAUGACGUGAGGAAAGCCUUUGUGUGUGUGUAAUAGCCAGGAGGACCCGGAUAAACAGGCCCUUUCUGUCCACUAAAAGCCUUUGUUGUCUGGGCUGUGUGGAAAUGGAGGGGUGGAGGGUUAAGGCAUUCGCAUGCUGCCCAUCCGGAACAGUUCGUGCACAUAAUAUGGAAACAUUUUGUGCCGUUAUAGUCUUCGGCAAGUUUUUGUUUGACUGUUUGUGCAUACAAUAUUUUUUCUCGAGGCAAGACUGAAAUUCGGGUGGGCGAAGUCUACGCUCCUUCGGCGGUGGUUGGUCAACUGUAGGGGGCGAAGAUUCAGCCCGAAACCCAUUGUGGAUUCAAAAUGGCAAAUGACAACAACUACAAUAGUUGAAAAUGGACCCAAUUCAAUAGAUAUCAAUCAACAAAGAGGUAUACAGACGAGGAGGCAUACAAAGGUAUUUCUAUUGGCAUGUUAUGCAGAUCACAUUUACCAUCCUCCUCCCUUACCUCUUCACUAAAAAUCCCAUAGGCCUCUACAUUAUGGACAAGGUAUGUGUUUGAAAACCAUUAUCAAAAGUGUUUUUCACAUUUAACACAAAAACCAAGUUAUGAAUACUGUCGUGUGCAUGUCUUGUUAAUCAUCUGUAUAAUAUUUUUUUUUUAAAUUCACAGACUUCACCCUCCCUACACCACUUAUGAAUAUAACAGGAAACCUGUUCGAUCACCAUGCACUGCAAAAUCAUUCUGGCUAUGGAUACGGAGUUUACCUCAUAUUUCGAUUUUUUUAUUCUGCUUUGCCACUAAAAUCAUAAUUUACACUGACAACUAAAAUAUUGUGUUAUUGUUGUUAUGUGUAUUAUUAAUAACAAUAUUAAUAGGGGAAUGGGGGUAGUUCAAAAAUGUACCCCAAAAGGUUCUUCAAAAGGUUCUUAAAGGGUUAUUUGAAGAACCUAUAGGGGUUCCCCCACAGUUUAAAUAUGAAGAACCCCUAAAGUAUCCUCCAGGAACCUUUACUUUUUAGAGUGUACGAUUCUAGCAUGUAAAGGCCAGUUCACUUUUCUCCACAGACUCUUCUCUAAUCCCCCCCCCCCUCUUCUCAUCCUUUCCACAAGGCCCUGACACCUAUAGCUGAUUUCAUGGAUUACCUAUCGCCAAAACUAUCACCAGCUGCAUGAGUUCGUGCAUGACUUCAAGAAGAGGACAUGGACCAAACGACUGGGAACACAGUGAAAUGAACAACUUGUUCUGAUGAUGUUCAGAUAUCUCAGGAGUCCAGCCUGGUCUCAUAGACUAGACGUAACAUAGUAAAUGUUAAUCCGGAACACUAAAAUGUGUACGUUAUGUCACGUUUGGUUUGGUUACACAAGACAGAUGGUUACUUAAGGCAAAAAAAAGAAAGCAGGGUGGUUGGUUGGUCAUAUUAACGCGGACGUCUAGCAAUUGUGAGUUUGAAUCUCAUCAUGGACAACUUUUGCAUUUUAGCUAAUUAGCAACUUUUCAUCUACUUACUACUUUUUGCUACUUUGCAACUACUUAGCACGUUAACUAACCCUUCCCCUAACCUUAACCUUAACCCUUUUAGCGAACAUACCAUAUGAAACUUAACAUAUAAUACUAAAUGGAGUGUGCCAGAUUUACGUACAGAAUAAUACGAAAUGCUCCGAGACCAGGUUGAGGAAUCAGGGGAUAGAUACUUUCAUUUUAUUCCAUUGACAUUUUUAUUGUUUACAUGCCUGUUUUACGCAGACACAUUUGUACUAUUGUUCUGAAAUAUUUGUAUUUACACUGACACUUUAAUUGACAGGUGUUAUGUACAUGUCUGUUCUUAGGCAGACACCUUUGUAUUGUAUUGUGGGUUACUUUCAGAGCCCAGAUGCCAGAAUAAUGGUUUAUUUUUGUGUGCUGAAAAAGGUGUGUU